rnacentral:rRNA from 1 species
GACGAACGCUGGCGGCGUGCUUAACACAUGCAAGUCGAACGGAAAGGCCCCUUUUGGGGUACUCGAGUGGCGAACGGGUGAGUAACACGUGAGUAACCUGCCCUUGACUUCGGGAUAACUUCAGGAAACUGGGGCUAAUACCGGCUAGGAAUCCUUGCUGCAUGGUGGGGGGUGGAAAGCUUCGGCGGGUUUGGAUGGACUCGCGGCUUAUCAGCUUGUUGGUGGGGUAGUGGCUUACCAAGGCUUUGACGGGUAGCCGGCCGGAGAGGGGGAACGGCCACAUUUGGACUGAGAUACGGCCCAGACUCCUACGGGAGGCAGGAGUGGGGAAUAUUGCACAAUGGGCGGAAGCCUGAUGCAGCAACGCCGCGUGCGGGAUGACGGGCUUCGGGUUGUAAACCGGUUUCAGCAUGGGCGAAGCUUGUGGUGACGGUACCUGCAGAAGAAGCACCGGCUAACUACGUG